rnacentral:lncRNA from 1 species
AUGCACCUGUGUGUGUUGCAUGUAUACGUGAGUAAGCACCUGUGCAUGUCUCUGUGUAUGCAUAUAGGUGUGUGUGCUAUUCGUGUGCACACAUGUACAUGUCUGUGUGUGUGUGUCUGUGUGAGUUUCUUGUUACUCCCUCGGACAAUCAGGAGCAGUAGAGGUGGAGAUAAAGCCAGAAGUGAGAGAAGCACAUGUCCCAGGCCUGGGGCCCAUCCUACACCAACUCAGCACCAGGAAGGCCUUGAGAUCUUGAGCUCCACAAAGCCAAGGUCAGCAGAGCCAAGGUCAGCAGAGCCAGGAGGCAUCCCAGGACAGUGGCGCCAGCACCUUUGUCCUUCUCUGACAAUUAUUUCCCAACUUCUCCCCAUGGAGGGCAUCUUGCUUGUGUCUUUUGGUUUCAAGCCCAUUCUAAAAGCCAGCCGCAUGUCCUUGUGGAAGCUUCAUUUUCCAGUUAGCUCCCCACGGACGCAUGCAGGCCAGAGCUCCAUGGGGCCCUUCCCGCCGGCCAGACUCCAUCACUGGGAGCUUGCCGCCCCUCCCCAGGGCUCUGAGGGGGUUUCUCCUAAAGACUCGACAGGAAUUGGAAUGGCCGUCCAUUUCCCUAUCAUUUGCUGCAACUGGGGAACAAAGAUGAUGAUUGUAGUGGCUUGUGGGAAAGGGACACAAAGAACGUAUUUUUUCUUCCCUUAUCCGAGCAGGGUCACCAGGCCCAUGGGCUGCCUGGGAAUUCCGAAGCGGCAGGGAGGAGCUGGGGCAGGGGGCGGGAUGGUCAUCCCCGCAGUGCCUCCGGGCGUCCAUCCUAGCCUGCAUGGCCCAUGCCUGGCCCACGUGCAUGUGUGGGACACCCUUGGCCUCUUUUUCUCCCUUCCCGACACAAGCCUCCCUGACCUCCUUCUCCAGGCCCCUUGCGGGCUUCAGCCUCCUCCCGGCCUGCCACCCUCCCUGGGUGCUCUCCGAAUCCCCCGGCACCAGUGUCUCCUAUGCUGCCUCCAGCUGCCCCCUACCUCCCAAGUUGCCAACUGGGGUGCCUCACAGGAGCCCCCAAACUGCCCUGAAGCCUGA